GACGAACGCUGGCGGCAGGCUUAACACAUGCAAGUCGAGCGCCCCGCAAGGGGAGCGGCAGACGGGUGAGUAACGCGUGGGAAUCUACCCAUCUCUACGGAAUAACGCAUGGAAACGUGUGCUAAUACCGUAUACGUCCUUCGGGAGAAGGAUUUAUCGGAGAUGGAUGAGCCCGCGUUGGAUUAGCUAGUUGGUGGGGUAAAGGCCUACCAAGGCGACGAUCCAUAGCUGGUCUGAGAGGAUGAUCAGCCACACUGGGACUGAGACACGGCCCAGACUCCUACGGGAGGCAGCAGUGGGGAAUAUUGGACAAUGGGCGCAAGCCUGAUCCAGCCAUGCCGCGUGAGUGAUGAAGGCCCUAGGGUUGUAAAGCUCUUUCACCGGUGAAGAUAAUGACGGUAGCCGGAGAAGAAGCCCCGGCUAACUUCGUGCCAGCCGCCGCCGUAAGAC
rnacentral:rRNA from 1 species